rnacentral:lncRNA from 1 species
AAGACUUCCUUGCUGGCAACAACAGAAGAACUGAGCCUAGUUCCAGCCCCUGAAUGAAGUGGGCCCUGGACCAUCUCAAGCUGUGAUCACAAGCUUUGCCUACACUCCUCCUAUCCAAAGAAAGAAGAUGUUCAGCUGAGCCAAUUUUGCCUGCUCUGAUAAAAGCCCAGCAAAUGGCCAAAUGCUCAAGUCUGGGUUUUUCCUGUUUCCUGUUGAACCUUCUCUACAGCAUCCUCCAGCUGCCAUUCAUCCCCAGCCCCAAAUGGCACAGGUGACUGGGUCCCAAAUGCCACAGGAGUUAGCUGCCCACCACCAGCCAGCUCUGUCAUUCAGGUGGCCCUUGUCCUCACGUCUGCACAUCCCCUCAUGUCUGCUUUUCAGGCCCUAGCUCCCUUGGCCCAUGGGUUGUGCGGGCUUCCCCUGGGCCACUCCCACCCCCAGCUGCUAGUCCCGAAUUCUAUAAGAAAGCAGGCUGAGCAAGCCAUGAGGAGCAAACCAGUAAGCAGCACCCUUCCAUGGCCUCUGCAUCAGCUCCUGCCUUCAAGACCCUGCCCUGUUUGAGUUCCUGUCCUGACUUCCUUCAGUGAUGGACUAUGAUGUGGAAGUGUAAGCCCAAUAAACCCUGUCUUCAAGUUGCUUUGGUUACGGUUUUUCAACCUAACAAUAGAAUCCAUAGCUAAUGUGUAUGUGUGUGAUAUGUGUGUAUGGGGG